AGUAACAUUAAACCCUCGACUGUGUUGUCAGUAUGUUGAACAGGUACAGUAACAUUAAACCCUCGACUGUGUUUUCAGUAUGUUGAACAGGUACAGUAACAUUAAACCAUCGACUGUUUUCAGUAUGUUGAACGGGUACAGUAACAUUAAACCCUCGACUGUGUUUUCAGUAUGUUGAACAGGUACAGUAACAUUAAACCCUCGACUGUGUUUUCAGUAUGUUGAACGGGUACAGUAACAUUAAACCCUCGACUGUUUUCAGUAUGUUGAACAGGUACAGUAACAUUAAACCAUCGACUGUUUUCAGUAUGUUGAACGGGUACAGGAACAUUGACCAUCGACUGUGUUUUCAGUAUGUUGAACGGGUACAGUAACAUUAAACCCUCGACUGUUUUCAGUAUGUUGAACAGGUACAGUAACAUUAAACCAUCGACUGUGUUUUCAGUAUGUUGAACGGGUACAGGAACAUUAAACCCUCGACUGUUUUCAGUAUGUUGAACAGGUACAGUAACAUUAAACCAUCGACUGUGUUUUCAGUAUGUUGAACGGGUACAGUAACAUUAAACCCUCGACUGUUUUCAGUAUGUUGAACAGGUACAGUAACAUUAAACCAUCGACUGUGUUUUCAGUAUGUUGAACGGGUACAGGAACAUUAAACCCUCGACUGUUUUCAGUAUGUUGAACUGGUACAGUAACAUUAAACCAUCGACUGUGUUUUCAGUAUGUUGAACAGGUACAGUAACAUUAAACCCUCGACUGUAUUUUCAGUAUGUUGAACGGGUACAGUAACAUUGACCAUCGACUGUGUUUUCAGUAUGUUGAACAGGUACAGUACAUUGACCAAUCGAGUGUGUUUUUAAAGUGACUAAAAGAGAGCUCCAGCGCCCAGUCCAGUCAAGGCUUUAUUAGCUUGAUAUAAAAACUAGACUGAUUCCAGUGGGUUUCAGAUUUACAGCGGUCCCCCCCCAUGUAGAAGUUGUCGAUGCAUGCCUGCUAUGUUUGAUGUUAAGAUUAAGUCAAAGAAUAUAUAUAUAUAAAAAUACAAAAAGAUGGAGAUUUCACAACACGUGAUUCACUAGCCUUGCUUUUAAUGGCAUACAAGAUGACUAUUAUUAUUCAUGUUAUUAUAAUCCUUUUUUGCUUUUUUUUUUGGUUGGUUGACAUCUUCUCACUGAAGGUAGAAUAUGGCUUUAAUUUUGUCUUGGAUUUUUCUUAAAUGCCCUGCAACUAUGGAAAACAAUUGUGGGGAAAAAUAACAUGAAUAUAUAUAUAUAUUUAAAAACAAAACACACAAAAUAAAAAAUAAAAAACAAGUCUGUUUUUAUACUGUUUGUACUAAGUAUAUUCAUGUUGCCCUUGCUGCUUAUGUGCCAAUGUUGUGUGAGAUUUAAAAAAAAAAUAUAUAUAUAUAUAUGUUUGACCACUCAUGCAACUUUUAUGUGGUGUUAUCUGAGAAUGUAUCAACAUGAAAUAAAACCAUUUGGUAUUAUUUUUCUUUCUUUUCUAUUCCCUGAAAACA